rnacentral:rRNA from 1 species
UACGAAGGGGGCUAGCGUUGCUCGGAAUUACUGGGCGUAAAGCGCACGUAGGCGGAUCUUUAAGUCAGGGGUGAAAUCCUGGAGCUCAACUCCAGAACUGCCUUUGAUACUGAGGGUCUUGAGUUCGGGAGAGGUGAGUGGAACUGCGAGUGUAGAGGUGAAAUUCGUAGAUAUUCGCAAGAACACCAGUGGCGAAGGCGGCUCACUGGCCCGAUACUGACGCUGAGGCACGAAAGCGUGGGGAGCAAACAGG